rnacentral:rRNA from 1 species
GACGUAGGGGGCCAGCGUUGUUCGGAAUUACUGGGCGUAAAGGGUUCGUAGGUGGCCACUUAAGUCAGACGUGAAAUCCCUCAGCUUAACUGGGGAACUGCGUCUGAUACUGAGUGGCUUGAGUGCAGGAGAGGAAUGCGGAAUUCCAGGUGUAGCGGUGAAAUGCGUAGAUAUCUGGAGGAACACCGGUGGCGAAGGCGGCAUUCUGGACUGUAACUGACACUGAGGAACGAAAGCCAGGGGAGCAAACGGG